rnacentral:piRNA from 1 species
UACCUUUAACACUCACUGCGAAGGUCUGC